rnacentral:snRNA from 1 species
AUACUUACCUGGCAGGGGAGACACCAUGAUCAAGAAGGUGGUUCACCCAGGGUGAGGCUCAGCCAUUGCACUCCGGUUGUGCUGACCCCUGCGAAUGCUGAAUCCCGAGACCUCGUCUACUGAC